rnacentral:rRNA from 1 species
UUAAGCGACUAAGCGUACACGGUGGAUGCCCUGGCAGUCAGAGGCGAUGAAGGACGUGCUAAUCUGCGAAAAGCGUCGGUAAGGUGAUAUGAACCGUUACAGCCGGCGAUGUCCGAAUGGGGAAACCCAGUGCAAUUCGUUGCACUAUCGUUAACUGAAUACAUAGGUUAACGAGGCGAACCGGGGGAACUGAAACAUCUAAGUACCCCGAGGAAAAGAAAUCAACCGAGAUUCCCCCAGUAGCGGCGAGCGAACGGGGAGCAGCCCGGAGUCUGAAUCAGCUUGUGUGUUAGUGGAAGCGUCUGGAAAGUCGCAGGGUACAGGGUGAUACUCCCGUACACUAAAACGCACAGGUUGUGAACUCGAAGAGUAGGGCGGGACACGUGGUAUCCUGUCUGAAUAUGGGGGGACCAUCCUCCAAGGCUAAAUACUCCUGACUGACCGAUAGUGAACCAGUACCGUGAGGGAAAGGCGAAAAGAACCCCGGCGAGGGGAGUGAAAAAGAACCUGAAACCGUGUACGUACAAGCAGUAGGAGCCCACUAGUUGGGUGACUGCGUACCUUUUGUAUAAUGGGUCAGCGACUUAUAUUCUGUAGCAAGGUUAACCGUAUAGGGGAGCCGCAGGGAAACCGAGUCUUAACUGGGCGUUAAGUUGCAGGGUAUAGACCCGAAACCCGGUGAUCUAGCCAUGGGCAGGUUGAAGGUUGGGUAACACUAACUGGAGGACCGAACCGACUAAUGUUGAAAAAUUAGCGGAUGACUUGUGGCUGGGGGUGAAAGGCCAAUCAAACCGGGAGAUAGCUGGUUCUCCCCGAAAGCUAUUUAGGUAGCGCCUCGUGAAUUCAUCUUCGGGGGUAGAGCACUGUUUCGGCUAGGGGGUCAUCCCGACUUACCAACCCGAUGCAAACUACGAAUACCGAAGAAUGUUAUCACGGGAGACACACGGCGGGUGCUAACGUCCGUCGUGAAGAGGGAAACAACCCAGACCGCCAGCUAAGGUCCCAAAGUCAUGGUUAAGUGGGAAACGAUGUGGGAAGGCCCAGACAGCCAGGAUGUUGGCUUAGAAGCAGCCAUCAUUUAAAGAAAGCGUAAUAGCUCACUGGUCGAGUCGGCCUGCGCGGAAGAUGUAACGGGGCUAAACCAUGCACCGAAGCUGCGGCAGCGACACUAUGUGUUGUUGGGUAGGGGAGCGUUCUGUAAGCCGUUGAAGGUGGCCUGUGAGGGUUGCUGGAGGUAUCAGAAGUGCGAAUGCUGACAUAAGUAACGAUAAUGCGGGUGAAAAACCCGCACGCCGGAAGACCAAGGGUUCCUGUCCAACGUUAAUCGGGGCAGGGUGAGUCGACCCCUAAGGCGAGGCCGAAAGGCGUAGUCGAUGGGAAACAGGUUAAUAUUCCUGUACUCGGUGUUACUGCGAAGGGGGGACGGAGAAGGCUAUGUUGGCCGGGCGACGGUUGUCCCGGUUUAAGCAUGUAGGCGGAUGUUCCAGGUAAAUCCGGAACGUCACUAACGCUGAGGUGUGAUGACGAGGCACUACGGUGCUGAAGUGACAAAUGCCCUGCUUCCAGGAAAAGCCUCUAAGCAUCAGGUAACAUCAAAUCGUACCCCAAACCGACACAGGUGGUCAGGUAGAGAAUACCAAGGCGCUUGAGAGAACUCGGGUGAAGGAACUAGGCAAAAUGGUGCCGUAACUUCGGGAGAAGGCACGCUGAUGGUAGGUGAAGUGACUUGCUCAUGGAGCUGAAAUCAGUCGAAGAUACCAGCUGGCUGCAACUGUUUAUUAAAAACACAGCACUGUGCAAACACGAAAGUGGACGUAUACGGUGUGACGCCUGCCCGGUGCCGGAAGGUUAAUUGAUGGGGUUAUCCGUAAGGAGAAGCUCUUGAUCGAAGCCCCGGUAAACGGCGGCCGUAACUAUAACGGUCCUAAGGUAGCGAAAUUCCUUGUCGGGUAAGUUCCGACCUGCACGAAUGGCGUAAUGAUGGCCAGGCUGUCUCCACCCGAGACUCAGUGAAAUUGAACUCGCUGUGAAGAUGCAGUGUACCCGCGGCAAGACGGAAAGACCCCGUGAACCUUUACUAUAGCUUGACACUGAACACUGGUCCUUGAUGUGUAGGAUAGGUGGGAGGCUUUGAAGUGUGGACGCCAGUCUGCAUGGAGCCAUCCUUGAAAUACCACCCUUUAAUGGCUGGUGUUCUAACGUGGGCCCGUAAUCCGGGUUGCGGACAGUGUCUGGUGGGUAGUUUGACUGGGGCGGUCUCCUCCUAAAGAGUAACGGAGGAGCACGAAGGUCAGCUAAUCCUGGUCGGACAUCAGGAGGUUAGUGCAAUGGCAUAAGCUGGCUUGACUGCGAGCGUGACGGCGCGAGCAGGUGCGAAAGCAGGUCAUAGUGAUCCGGUGGUUCUGAAUGGAAGGGCCAUCGCUCAACGGAUAAAAGGUACUCCGGGGAUAACAGGCUGAUACCGCCCAAGAGUUCAUAUCGACGGCGGUGUUUGGCACCUCGAUGUCGGCUCAUCACAUCCUGGGGCUGAAGUAGGUCCCAAGGGUAUGGCUGUUCGCCAUUUAAAGUGGUACGCGAGCUGGGUUUAGAACGUCGUGAGACAGUUCGGUCCCUAUCUGCCGUGGGCGCUGGAGAAUUGAGGGGGGCUGCUCCUAGUACGAGAGGACCGGAGUGGACGCAUCACUGGUGUUCGGGUUGUCAUGCCAAUGGCAUUGCCCGGUAGCUAAAUGCGGAAGAGAUAAGUGCUGAAAGCAUCUAAGCACGAAACUUGCCCCGAGAUGAGUUCUCCCUGACCCUUUAAGGGUCCUGAAGGAACGUUGAAGACGACGACGUUGAUAGGCCGGGUGUGUAAGCGCAGCGAUGCGUUGAGCUAACCGGUACUAAUGAACCGUGAGGCUUAACCU